rnacentral:rRNA from 1 species
AGAGUUUGAUCAUGGCUCAGGAUGAACGCUAGCGGGAGGCUUAACACAUGCAAGUCGAGGGGCAGCAUUACUUUCGGGUAGAUGGCGACCGGCGGACGGGUGCGUAACGCGUAUGCAACCUGCCUUAUACAGGAGGAUAGCCCAUGGAAACGUGGAUUAACACUCCAUAGUACUAUAAACCUGCCUAGGUUAAUAGUUAAAACUUCGGUGGUAUAAGAUGGGCAUGCGUCUGAUUAGCUAGAUGGUGGGGUAACGGCCCACCAUGGCGACGAUCAGUAGGGGUUCUGAGAGGAUUAUCCCCCACACUGGUACUGAGACACGGACCAGACUCCUACGGGAGGCAGCAGUGAGGAAUAUUGGUCAAUGGCCGCAAGGCUGAACCAGCCAUCCCGCGUGCAGGAUGACGGCCCUAUGGGUUGUAAACUGCUUUUCUAUGCCAAGAAAUGUACCUACGAGUAGGUAUUGACGGUAGCAUAAGA